UAGACCAAUAACCUUAUAUAACUUAUGUAAACUAUUUCGAUGUUUUGUGGUAACACUGGUAACAUCCAGAUUCUGAAAUGUUACUGUCGAUGGCAAAAUAUCGAACAUCGACCAAAAAAUAUCGAUGUUUUUGUAACAUCGAUGAAUAUCCGACAUGCCUACAAACUACAAACAGCUGAUUCCUGUCAUAACUUUUUUUUGUUGGUUAUGGUUAUAUGAUGUGUAUUAAUUACAAAUAAAUUGUUAUGUAUAAAUUUUUUAAAUUAUUGCAAAUAUUAGGAAUUAAUCCUUACUAUGUCGAACAUCUCCCAAACACCAAUGUAUUUUAAUUAAAAGUGGAUUCAACUAUCAAUAUUCUAGGUGGAUUAAGCAGAAGGAUUGUAAACUUGUAAAAAAAAUGCUUAGAAGUUUUUGUAAUGUUUAUGCUUUGUCGAAGAUUUUCACAAUUAAACAAUGUCUAUUUAAUACUCAGCUUUCUAUUGGCUGCAGGCUUUUUAUUUGAAAUGAAAGUCCUUUAUCAUGGACAUCAGAGAACUCUCCGAUUAGCUGAUUAUGACUCUCGGUUAAAUGAUCUAUCAGAUAACAUAAAAUCCGUUAUGAGGAUAGCAAAUGUUACAUCUGACCUGUCACAGAGACUGCACUAUUCUUUAAAAAGGAAAAGGCUUCAUAAUAAAAGCAAAUUAAGUUAACAUUACUAUCAGAGUGAUGCAACCAAAGAUUCUACCAGUCAGUCUAUAUGGUGACAAAUACAUGCACAAAUUUUAAGGAAAGGUACUAACAAGCUUCACUACAUUAAUUAUAGGAAAUGUAGUUUAUUUUUAAAAAAUGUGUGUGAUGAUAAGUUAUGGCCAGUACAACUAUUUUACCAAAUUAUGAAUUAUGUUAAAAGAUCAUUUAUCAUCCCAAAUAGCUAUGCACAAUAGAACUUUAAGAUAAUUCUAAGUAUAUUUCUCGGCCUACUUGAAUCAAUAGUAUUAGAUGUUGUAAUAAUAUUAUAAGUAAGGUAUGGGCAACUUGUUUUUUAUGAUUAAUUAACUGAUUUUACUGUAUGUAAUCCAGCACAAUUAUAGUUAUGCAAAAACUAGUAUAUAAGAAAGUAAAUAUUUUCAAUUUUCAUAUUUAGAUAACUUCUUGUCCAAGUGAGUGUUUUCACUUAUACACUUUAAGUGUUACAUUCUUAUUUUAUUACUUUGGCAUUAUGCUUAUAGCAUUUGCAAGAUGUCAUUUAUUUAAUGGAGGACAGCUGCCACCAAAUUAAAGCAACCAGAGCCAAGCAUGAUUAAACAAAACUUAAAAUUUUUUUUUUAAUUAUUUGUUGUAACAUUUUCAAAAACUUAAACUUUGUACACCUUGCUUUUUUUACAUAUGUAUGCCAUAAGCUAAAGAUAUGACUAAAUCUGCUAUGUCUGCUGGGUUGUGUGACUUACAGGUGCAUUCUCCCAUGUUAUGAUUGUCUAAUCAAUUUCAAUUCACUAAUUUUUAAAUUUGUUUUAAAUUCUAGAUAACCAAAGAAUAUUUUCAACUCACUUAUUUGAAACCAAAUCAGAAUACCUUGUUUAUAAUUAAAAUGGUUAGCCAAUCCUUAAAGUAAAUACAAAUCUUGUUCAAUCAGCUUUCUAAAAACAUGUGGAUUAUGAGGUAUAUUAAAAACAUUAAGUGGCAUUAUCUAGCAAGCAUAGCAAAAUUAUUAUAUUCAUUUUAAGCCACAUUUCUUUAUUUUGUUUAAACUGUCAAUUUUAAUAGAUAAUAUUACAUAACAUUCUAUAUAUAUAAUGUUGAACAUUAAAACACUAUUAAAAAAUAUUAAGUGUGUGAUAAAUACAUAAUUGCAAACCAGGAGUGUACUAGAGUAGUGUGUACAGUAAAAGCAGUAGUUAAAAAGUUAUUUGCUAUAUUUUCUAUACAUUAAUAUUUAAAAUAAGUAUAAUGUUCUCUUUGGGGAAAAUGAUGUGAGCCACCUCAGGCCAUUUACAUUGAAAAGUUUCAACACUUUUUGUUAUGAACUAGUCAUUUUACUUUAUCUCUGCUUGCCUUCUACAGUUACCUUAUUGGAUAAAUAUUUUUAAUAUACCUGUUAUUUGUAAAAUAUUCUGCUGCAUUUGACAUGUGUGUUACAUGUCAAUUAACAUCUACACGGCAUAAAUGCCGAUUUUUUAAACAGCACUGAGAUGUUCUAGUGAACCUUGUCUUAAAGCUUUAAACCAGAAGUAGAAAUAAAUACAUUAGAUUUUUCACAAUUUGUAUAAUCUUAAGUUCUUAAGAGGAAAUCUUAGAAGGUCCACUUAAUUAAACUAAAGUAGUGCAGUAAUUAGAAGUCAAUUUUAAAAUUUGUUGAUGUAUGAUAUAUAGAUAGUAUGUUUCAUAUUAUUGUGCUCUUGAUGUAAAUAUAUGGCCAAAUAGCUCUUACCAAAUUUAGGGUAGCAAUUAAGUCAAUUCUAAUUUAUGAAUGCAACUAAAUAAACAAGCCUAUUUAUCAGUUAGUUGGCUGCUGUCUAGAUAAAUACAUAUGUUCCAUAAAAUUAUAAUUUCAUGCCUUAGAUGUAUAUGUAAUCUGACCUGUUUGACCAUUAAAUUCCAAAAUAAUAGAUCCUAAGAAUUCUAAUGAUUAAAAAAUUCAAUGCUUUGAUAUACUUUUUGAACAAAAAUUCAACAAAACUUCAUUCUGGAUACCAACAUUUCUAUUAAGGUUUUCUCAACACCAGUAGUGACAUUAAAUCCUUCCAUCUACGUUAUUAAUAACAUCGUUGAUUGAAAAGGGAAGCGCCUUGAAUUGAUUGAAAAAGCGCCUCUUCAAUCAACGAUAACAUGUUCAAUUUUCUUUUUUUUUUUAACCAAAAGAUGUAUGUAAUGUUGCCGUAAUGGGUGGGAUCAGCACAGGUUUAAUUGUAAUUUUCACCUGGAGAAAAGCUAAUCUAUGUAAGUUGUCCAAGCUUCAUAAAAAGUUAUGCACUAGGCUACAGCUCAAAUAAUAGAUUUUAUUAUUGUUACAUGUUAUUAUUUAUUAAUUCUAGGAUAUUUUUUACUAACUUAUUAUAUGUAUAGUAUAUUAUAUUGUACUUAUGUAAUAAUUGUAUUAUGAUCUGUUACUAAGUUUGAAAUUUUAUUCAGUGUUUUGUAAUUUUUAUGUAACAAUAAAAUAUAUUUAUAUUCAUUAAAAA
rnacentral:lncRNA from 1 species